CCAAAUCGUAGAGAAAUCACCAAAUCACCUUCUUCCUUAGACUCAAUUUCCACCAAAUCACCAAAUCUCUUCAAUUUUCCUUACCCUCGUCACCGACCCAGCCUUCUCCACCAAAUCUCUUCGAUUUCCCUUACCCUCGUCGCCGCCCCAGCCUUCUUCGGCCGUCGUCGGCUCGCCCCGCCCCGUCUCCUUGGAUUGACAGCCCGCCGCCCUCACCUAGCAUUUCUCGGACGACUCCGCAGCAGCAGCAGUUUCCAACGCCCAAGUUCCCAACGAAAGCUACCUACCGCGAUGAGUUAAAGGAAAUUGCUCCCUAUACUCUUUUGAAGUGCUCGAGUGACGCUACAACCUUGGUAGAAGCCAUCAAAAGGCCUUUACUUUUAUGGAUAUAGGAUCAGAAUCACCAACCUAUCCGAUCGCCCGGUGCAACUUCUUAGACGUCAUUGGAUCAUAACUGAUGCCAAUGGAAGAACUGAGACAGUCCAGUUAAGCUUCCAGUUUCCCACCUUCUACCCCUCAGUACUUCAAUAGACUCGAUUCUGUAUCUGUUUUUGAGGUAUUAUGCUUCACUUUCUCUAUUGAGCACGUCGACUGGCAGAAUGGUGAGACGCGUCUAUCAGAAAUGUGUUAUGGUCCAAAAAUAUGGGAAUGUGAAGAUAGAAUGUCUUAUUUUCCCAUUGUAUAUUGUGAUGUUUAGAUAUAUAUAUUUGCUUCAUUAUUUGCAGGAAGGUGACUAUGAGAUGAAGCACAUAGAUAAAGUUGGAACUCGGACGUAGAAUGUAGCUAUUGCCCCCUUUGCUCUGUCCACAUUUGGAGAUGAUAUUAGUGUAGAGAUUAUCCAACUCAUAUGCAGCUUCUAGUUGUAGAGAUUAUGAUGUUAUUUAGAUAUAUUUGACACUUUGAUUAUGGAUGGAUAAAGUUAUUUGGAUGAUUAAAUAUUUAUAUAUGUUUUGGUUGUGGAA